GCUCACUCCUCUUUCUGUCAGC
rnacentral:miRNA from 1 species